GUUCAGUCGUACCAUCACGAUGUGAGCUCCUCUUCACCGGGCUGUCUGUCUCCGUCUGCCUCUCCUCCUCCAUCUCAGAAGCGCAAACGGGCAAGAACGGACCGUAAUGCUGCGCUGAACAGGCUUCACUGCGGACUCAAUGACGCUGGGCUCCCAGUGGGAUCACACCGCAGCAUUUCUACGCAAUAAGAAACCUCUGACAUCAGGCAGCAGGUAAAAAUGACUGGAGGCACCGUGGAGCUGGAGCUCAUUAUGAAGAUGGAAUCUCCCCUGGGAUCUCAAAGUUAAAAGGGACUGACCUGCAUCCAGCAACCCAGAAUACACUCUCCCACCCCACUAGGAACCCCCCUUGCGCCCCGUGAAGCACCUU